CCAUUCCGAACACGGAAGUUAAGCUCUUCAGCGCCGAUGGUAGUUGGGACGCGAGUCCCUGUGAGAGUAGGACGUUGCCGGGC
rnacentral:rRNA from 1 species